UCGCUCCUACCGAUUGAGCGGUCCGGUGAAUUAUUUGGAACGAAGCAGAGCAAUGUUAUGUUGCUGUGAUUUGCGAAAUUUUGUGAACCUUAUCGCUUAGAGGAAGGAA
rnacentral:rRNA from 1 species